CGGGUGAGUAACCUUUGGGUUCUCUGGCCUUCACUCUGGGACCAGCCCUGUUGAACGGGGUCUAAUACCGGAUACGAGCCUCCAAGGCAUCUUGGGGGUUGGAACACCUCCUUUGAUGAAGGAUGUACCCGCGGCCUAUCAGCUUGUUGGUGAGGUAAUGGCUCACCAAGGCGACGACGGGUAGCCGGCCUGAGAGGGCGACCGGCCACACUGGGACUGAGACACGGCCCAGACUCCUACGGGAGGCAGCAGUGGGGAAUAUUGCACAAUGGGCGAAAGCCUGAUGCAGCGACGCCGCGUGAGGGAUGACGGCCUUCGGGUUGUAAACCUCUUUCAGCAGGGAAGAAGCGAAAGUGACGGUACCUGCAGAAGAAGCGCCGGCUAACUACGUGCCAGCAGCCGCGGUAAUACGUAGGGCGCAAGCGUUGUCCGGAAUUAUUGGGCGUAAAGAGCUCGUAGGCGGCUUGUCACGUCGAUUGUGAAAGCCCGAGGCUUAACCUCGGGUCUGCAGUCGAUACGGGCUAGCUAGAGUGUGGUAGGGGAGAUCGGAAUUCCUGGUGUAGCGGUGAAAUGCGCAGAUAUCA
rnacentral:rRNA from 1 species